rnacentral:rRNA from 1 species
UACGUAGGUGGCAAGCGUUGUCCGGAAUUAUUGGGCGUAAAGCGCGCGCAGGCGGUCCCUUAAGUCUGAUGUGAAAGCCCACGGCUCAACCGUGGAGGGUCAUUGGAAACUGGGGGACUUGAGUACAGAAGAGGAAAGCGGAAUUCCACGUGUAGCGGUGAAAUGCGUAGAGAAUCGGGAGGAACACCAGAGGCGAAGGCGGCGACCUGGACAGGUGACUGACACUGAGGCACGAAGGCCAGGGAGCAAACGGG